CAGGCCUAACACAUGCAAGUCGAACGGUGAAGCCAAGCUUGCUUGGUGGAUCAGUGGCGAACGGGUGAGUAACACGUGAGCAACCUGCCCUGGACUCUGGGAUAAGCGCUGGAAACGGUGUCUAAUACUGGAUAUGAGCCUCUUCCGCAUGGUGGGGGUUGGAAAGAUUUUUCGGUCUGGGAUGGGCUCGCGGCCUAUCAGCUUGUUGGUGAGGUAAUGGCUCACCAAGGCGUCGACGGGUAGCCGGCCUGAGAGGGUGACCGGCCACACUGGGACUGAGACACGGCCCAGACUCCUACGGGAGGCAGCAGUGGGGAAUAUUGGACAAUGGGCGCAAGCCUGAUCCAGCAAUGCCGCGUGAGUGAUGAAGGCCUUAGGGUUGUAAAGCUCUUUUACCCGGGAUGAUAAUGACAGUACCGGGAGAAUAAGCUCCGGCUAACUCCGUGCCAGCAGCCGCGGUAAU
rnacentral:rRNA from 1 species